UGUGUAGGUGGCGCGCUAAGUUCCGUGUGAAAUCUCCCGGCUCAACCGGGAGGGUGCGCGGAAAACUGGCAGGCUAGAGUACGGGAUGGGAGAGUAGAAUUCCUGGUGUAGCGGUGAAAUGCGUAGAUAUCAGGAGGAAUACCGGUGGUGUAGACGGCUCUCUGGACCGUAACUGACACUGAAACACGAAAGCGUGGGUAAGCAAACA
rnacentral:rRNA from 1 species